AUUCCAUGGUGUGGACACAACAUAAUCAUUUCCUGGAAUCACACCCAAGUUUCAAAGAGUGAUUCACCAUCAGAUUGCUAGAAGCAAGAUAUUUAGUUCCUUAUU